rnacentral:misc_RNA from 1 species
GUUUCUGUUUCCCUUGCCAGCGUCUGCUCUAGCAACACCUCUUUGAUGACUGUCGUUUUAUUCAGUGCCUUUAGUCGAUUAUCUCUCUUCUCGGGGACGAUCAGACGGUGUACAUCUGUUCUUCCGAAGACCAGACAAUUUUCCUUCACUAGAACACCUUUGACAGUUUUUAGAAGACAGAUAUCAGUAACCACCAUCAUGCCAACACCUCAGGGAAUCAACGGGUUGUACGAUUUUCGGCGUGUCACUCCAGACGACAUCGAAAAACAGACAGAUGCACUCAUCUCACAACAACGCGCAUCGUAUGACGCUGUUGGCUCACUGCCAUUGGACACUGUUAGCUAUGACAAUGUCAUUAAGAAAUUAGCAGACCUGAUGAAUGAACGCUCAACCUUUGGAUCACCACUGGACUUUCCCCAACAUGCUGCAACCGAUAAAGCUGUCCGUGAAGCUUCAAGCAAAGCUGAACAGAAACUUGAGGAGUUCGAUGUAGAAAUGAGCAUGAGAAAGGACAUUUUUGACCGAGUGGUGGCAUUUAAGGAAAAUGUUGGAGUUGAGGGCUUGAGCAGCGAGCAGAAGAGGCUUGUGGACAAACUCAUUCUGCAUGGAAGACGCAACGGUCUCCAUUUGUCGAGCGAGAUUCAGGACCAGGUGAAGAGCAUCAAGAAGCGCAUGUCAGAACUGAGCAUCAAGUUCCAGCGCAACUUGAACGAGGACAAUACCAAGCUCUUCUUCACCCGAGAGGAGCUGGCAGGGAUGCCCGACGAUUUUAUUAACGAACUAGCCCAGAAAGAAGACAAUAAGUUAGAAGUAACAAUGAAGUACCCACAUCUCUUUCCCAUCACCAAAAAGUGCCGCGUGCCGGACACUAGACGCCAGAUGGUGACUGCCAGUCAGUCCAAGUGUAUGGAAGAGAACACGCCCAUCCUAGAGGAACUGAUAACCCUCCGUCAAAAGGAGGCUGACCUUCUGGGCUACAAGAACCAUGCUGCGUAUGUCUUGGAGGAGCGUAUGGCCAAGACCCCGGAGAAUGUUGCUGAGUUCCUCUCCAGCCUGUCCGAGAAGCUUCAGCCACUGUGGAAGCAGGAGCGACAGGAUAUGCUGAAGUUGAAGAAAGACGAGUGUGAGAAAUACAGUUAUGAAUACUCCGGCAAGCUGGACUUCUGGGAUUUCCGUUACUACAUGAAUCAAGUGGAGGAAAAAAUGUUUGCUGUGGAUCAAGAUGAGGUGCGUCAGUAUUUUCCCCUUGACAAGGUUACCUCUGGCUUGUUGGAUAUAUACCAAAUUUUGCUAGGCCUUAAAUUCACCCAAGAAGUUGAUGCUGACACGUGGCAUGAAGAUGUGAAGCUGUAUCGUGUGAAUGAUGCUGAGACAGGGGAAAAGAUGGGAUACUUUUUCCUUGAUUUGUAUCCUCGAGAUGGCAAGUUUGGUCAUGCUGCUAUUUUCCCCCUUCAGCCAUCCUGUGAAGGGCCCACAGGAGACCGUCAGGUUGCAGUCUGUGCAAUGAUGUGCAAUUUUACUAAGCCUACCAAAGACAAGCCAGCUCUCUUGGACCAUUCAGAGGUUGAGACAUACUUCCAUGAGUUUGGUCAUGUGAUGCACCACAUCUGUUCUCGUGCAACAUUUGCCAUGUUUGCUGGAACUCGUGUAGAACGUGAUUUCCUGGAAGCACCAUCACAGAUGUUGGAGAACUGGGUUUGGGAGAAGGAACCUCUUGCCCUUAUGUCUGGUCAUUAUAAGACUGGUGAGACCUUGCCUGAUGAAAUAGUAGAAAGGCUGCAGAAGUCACGAAAGGCAAACGCUGGUGGCUUUAACCUGCGUCAGAUCAUUUUGGGAACCUUUGAUCAAGCAAUCCAUACAAGAGGGCAAGCAGACACCAAGUCCUUGUUUGCUCAAACGUAUCGUGAUAUUAUGGACAUCGAACCCAUUCCAAAUACCAACAUGCCAGCCAACUUUGGUCAUCUUGCUGGUGGUUAUGAUGCACAGUAUUAUGGUUAUCUGUGGAGUGAGGUAUUCUCCAUGGACAUGUAUGAGAGUCGCUUCAAGAAAGAAGGCAUCUUGACCCCUGCAGUAGGGACUGAUUAUCGUACAAAGAUUCUUCAGCCAGGUGGAUCAAAGGACGCUGCAGAUUUACUUAGAGAUUUCUUAGGCCGUGAUCCAACACAUGAUGCUUUCCUGCGCAGCAAAGGCCUGCAAGUCUGAAUUUGAGAGCAGCUGGAUAAUGCAGUUUUGAUGCCAUUGUAAGUUUAGAAGAGUAUAGUCACUUUUUUGAGUUUGGUAAUACAGAUUUAUUUUUUAAAGAAUGUCAUGUGGAAAGUUAUUUAGAAAAAGAGAUAUUGAAGUUGUAUUUAAGUAGCACCAGAAUUUGUUCUUUAGUACAUGGGAUGAGGAGUAACAUUCUGUUACUCAGGAUUAAUUAGCAGUGUAAAGAACUGCAGUUACAUAUUAUAUUAAUAUGAAAUUCAGAGGAAACUCCAUGAAAACAAAUUAUCUCUGUUACGCAAACUGUUUUAUUCAGUAGUCUACAUUCACAGGCUUUGAAACUAAGUUUUUCAGUAUUAUCAUUUGGUUAAUUUAAGAUAAACAAAAAUACCGAAUGAUUGCUAGUAUAUAUAUAUAUAUAUACUUGGUUAUGAUAUUUAUAUACAGUAAGACUUUUAUUCUUAAGACCAUUACACAGAUACAUGGGAGCACAGAUUGUAGUUGAUACCAAAAUAUUUACUA